rnacentral:rRNA from 1 species
GUUGCCUACGGGAGUCAGCAGUGAGGAAUAUUGGUCAAUGGGCGGGAGCCUGAACCAGCCAAGUCGCGUGAGGGAAGACGGUCCUAUGGAUUGUAAACCUAUUUAGGCGGGGAGGAAUGCCGGGCACGCGUGCCCGGAGGGAGAGUACCCGCAGAAUAAGCAUCGGCUAACUCCGUGCCAGCAGCCGCGGUAAUACGGAGGAUGCGAGCGUUAUCCGGAUUUAUUGGGUUUACAGGGUGCGUAGGCGGAUUUUUAAGUCAGCGGUAAAAUGUCCGGGC